CUGCGUGCUCGUGGGAUUUGUAGACCGGCUUGCGGCCACGUUAAAAACCGCUAAAGAGGACAGGAUGGCAUCGCC
rfam:Thalassospira sp. MCCC 1A01428 contig23, whole genome shotgun sequence.